rnacentral:misc_RNA from 1 species
GAUGAAGAACGUAGUGAAAUGCGAUAAGUAAUGUGAAUUGCAGAAUUCAGUGAAUCAGCGAAUCUUUGAACGCACAUUGCGCCCGCCAGUAUUCUGGCGGGCAUGCCUGUUCGAGCGUCAUUACAACCCUCAGGCCCCCGGGCCUGGCGUUGGGGAUCGGCGGAGCCCCCCGUGGGCACACGCCGUCCCCCAAAUACAGUGGCGGUCCCGCCGCAGCUUCCAUCGCGUAGUAGCUAACACCUCGCGACUGGAGAGCGGCGCGGCCACGCCGUAAAACACCCAACUCUUCUGAAGUUGACCUCGAAUCAGGUAGGAAUACCCGCUGAACUUAAGCAUAUCAAUAAGCGGAGGA